rnacentral:rRNA from 1 species
AGCCUGAACGCUGGCGGCGUGGCUAAGACAUGCAAGUCGUACGGACCCGCAAGGGUCAGUGGCGCACGGGUGAGUAAUGAAUCGCUAACGUACUCCGGACUCAGGGAUAGCCGUCCGAAAGGGCAGGUAAUACCUGAUGAUAUAACCUUGUCGCAUGACUGGGUUCUCAAAGGUCCGCCGGU